AAGGAUUGUUGCAAAUUCAUUGGAUGCAAAACCCAGGUGGGUACAAACAAUAAUAAAUUAAAAAAAAUCACAAGAACACCCAAUAGCCAUGCAUGAUUAUGAUUGGGUAGAGGAUCAAAUGAGUAUAGGAUGCCACCUUUCUCUCACGGAUUCUUCAUUCAUUUUUCGGCCAAAAUGGGGAAUUCCAUUUUCAACGAUCAAAAGGAAACUAGAAUUAGUAAAAAAGCAUGCAGGAUCCCAAGCUCAGGCAAUUAAUGCUACAACGGUCACUGCCACCGCAACGCCACCAAUUGAACGUGACCGUUACUCGUCACGUGCAAUCCCCACAGUCACUUCACAUUCAUCUCGUGCCCAUCCCAUCCCCUGAAAACCUUUUACCUCUAGGGUGUAUGUACAUCCAUAGUGUUAAUGAACCUUCCCUCGUAGGGGCAUGGGCUCUCGCCUCUUUCAGUCUUCUCUACCAGUAAUGUCUCCAGAUCCGAAGACCCAACUGGUCCACAUUGUAAAUGUGAGAUUUUUCUGCAAAUAUAGGUGAAAUUUGCUUAACUACAAGUUGAAAUACCAACCCAUUUAGGAAUUUAGUAGUAAACUCAUUUGAUGAUGCUCGAGUUUAACCAAUCACACUAUGAUAUGGACAGGUGGGGAUUAAUUGGUAGUCUGUGUUUUGCGUGGUGAGGGAGGUGGCGGUGGCCAAUCACAUCCUUUAUAGAAGGGUCACUCAAAUGGGCAAAGGAGGUUGCUUUGCCAUGCAAAGGGAGACAAUUAAUAGUAGCACUUAAUGUUUGUGCUUUGAAAUGUGAUAGAUAAGGGUAAUGUAAUUCAAGAUCUAAAGUUGGGAGCUUGUCAAAAAAAAAAAAAAAA
rnacentral:misc_RNA from 1 species